rnacentral:lncRNA from 1 species
CAAAUAAUGUUUUUAUCAAAAUAAGAAAAAAAGAGUAGACAAGAAUAGUCGUAUGUAGAAUAUAGGCUAGAUAUUCCUUAUACUGCUAAAGGGUCUGAAACUGUGAAGUAAGAUAUUAAUUUUCUCAAGAGAAAAGGCAAAAAAAAAAAAAUCAUUGUUCCCAUUUCGUUUUCUAAAUAAUAUUUUGGAUCUAUUGAAAGCGUCUGACGCUCAGAGGCUCUAGAUUGGCGCGUGAAUGGGUUUAGAUUAUUAUUUGCGAGGAGAAGAAAGAGAGAGAGAGGUGCUUUACGAAC